rnacentral:rRNA from 1 species
CUUCCGGAGCUAACGCGUUAAGUAGACCGCCUGGGGAGUACGGCCGCAAGGUUAAAACUCAAAUGAAUUGACGGGGGCCCGCACAAGCGGUGGAGCAUGUGGUUUAAUUCGAUGCAACGCGAAGAACCUUACCUGGUCUUGACAUCCACAGAACUUUCCAGAGAUGGACUGGUGCCUUCGGGAACUGUGAGACAGGUGCUGCAUGGCUGUCGUCAGCUCGUGUUGUGAAAUGUUGGGUUAAGUCCCGCAACGAGCGCAACCCUUAUCCUUUGUUGCCAGCGGUCCGGCCGGGAACUCAAAGGAGACUGCCAGUGAUAAACUGGAGGAAGGUGGGGAUGACGUCAAGUCAUCAUGGCCCUUACGACCAGGGCUACACACGUGCUACAAUGGCGCAUACAAAGAGAAGCGACCUCGCGAGAGCAAGCGGACCUCAUAAAGUGCG